rnacentral:misc_RNA from 1 species
GCCUUCCCUCAUCAACUUUAAGCUUAGACUGUUAAAACGUUCACGAGAAUACUGUCUCGAUGCUUUUCUCCAGUCCGUACCAGCCUUCAUCAUCGCAGCAAAUUCCUCAUAACUAAUCCGACCAUCCUUGUCUGUAUCAACGUCAUGCAUAAUGGCAUUGGUGACUUCCUCGCUGUUGCUGUCGUCUUCAUCCCUCAAAGCACUACGAAGCUCUUCGAUUUCUAUGAAACCACUCUGAUUUUUGUCGAAAAAUGAAAAUGCUUUGUGCAGGUGUUCAUCAUUGGCCAUCUUUCUAAGAUGAAUAGAUACAGCAACAAACUCUGGAUAAUUUAAACUUCCAUCUCCAUCAACGUCAGCCGCUUCCAUGAGAAUAUGAAGAUCAGCAUCAGGGAUUUGAUGGCCAAGCUUCUGCAAGCCAUCUUUAAGUUCAUUCAGGUUUAUCUUGCCCUUCUUUCCGGUAUCCAUCAUUUCAAAUGCUUCCUUCAUUCCAGCGACUUCCUCCGCAGACAAAAACUCAGCUAUAACCGUCAGAGCUUUUUUCUUGAGCUUGUUCAUUACUGAAAACUGCUUGAGUCUUGCUUUAACAGUCUCACCCA